UCACUGUUUCCUAUUCACCUUUACAAUCAAAGCACAUUUCCAGAGGUCACAAAUACCCCUGAAAUCCACCUUAAAACCUCCAGCAGUGGGGUGAGGCAGAUGCUUUUCUGUCCCCUUUUAGUCUUCAUUCUCUGACACUAAAGGAAUAGAUGCAGUCCUGAAGUAGGAGAGUAUGACAUCGUGAAGGUUAGGCAAGAACUGAAGCAGGAAAGACAAAAGAGGAUAAAAGCUGUGGUGGGAGGAUGCAAGCAGCAAGAAAGAGGCAUUUUCAGGAAAUGAAGAGAGAAGUUACACUUGGUUUUUCAGCCACUCAAGCAGCUUCCAAAAACUGAAGGAAAGACAAUGGAGUUUGCUGCCAUUGAUGCCUGUCUGAUAAGCUGGCUCAGCCAGUUAAAACAAACCAGAACAGCAGCAACAAAUAAAAAUCCAGCACACUGUACAA